ensembl:snoRNA
GUUCCCUUUCAAGGGUGACACAGCACUUCAAGAGGCUAGCAUGGAAGGGUAAAGAAUCUCUCUUUUAAAACCCAGAGAAGAGACUGUCCAAUCUCUUGCUAUGGUCAUCUCUAUCAUUAUGAAACCG